rnacentral:rRNA from 1 species
GACGAACGCUGGCGGCGUGCUUAACACAUGCAAGUCGAACGGAGUGGCGAGCGGGUGAGUAACACGUGGGUGACCUGCCCUGCACUUCGGGCUAAGCCUGGGAAACUGGGUCUAAUACCGGUUAGUGUGGGAUGGGCCCGCGGCCUAUCAGCUUGUGGGUGGGGUAAUGGCCUACCAAGGCGGGGACGGGUAGCCGGCCUGGGAGGGUGGAAGGCCACAUUGGGACUGGGGCACGGGCAGGAGUCCUACGGGAGGAAGGAGUGGGGAAUAUAGCACAAUGGGCGGAGGCCGUAUGCAGCGACGUCGGGUGGGGGAUGACGGCCUUCGGGUUGGAAACUCCUUUCACGAACGACGCGGUAGAAGGAGAAGAAGCACCGGCUAACUACGUGCCAGCAGCCGCGUAAUUC